GACGAACGCUGGCGGCGUGCCUAAUACAUGCAAGUCAACUGAAGCAGUUGUAGCAAUACGGCUGUGGAGGUGGCGCACGGGUGAGUAACACGUAGGUAACCUGCCUUCAGGUCUGACACAACUCCGAGAAAUCGGUGCUAAUAUCAGAUUAUGCAGCGGCUUGACAUCAAGACAGUUGUUAAAGCUUCGGCGCCUGGAGAUGGGCCUGCGUCCCAUUAGGUAGUUGGCGGGGUAACGGCCCACCAAGCCUGCGAUGGGUAGCUGGUCUGAGAGGAUGAUCAGCCACACUGGAACUGAGAUACGGUCCAGACUCCUACGGGUGGCUG
rnacentral:rRNA from 1 species